CGGGAUUUUUAGAAAAAAGUA
rnacentral:tRNA from 1 species